GGAGUUAAGAAAUGUAGGCUCGCUAAUAUCGUGCCUAUUUGACAAAGGCUCCAAAGGAAGCCACGGCUAACUCUGUGCCAGCAGCCGCGGUAAUACAGAGGUGGCAAGCGUUGUUCGGAAUUAUUGGGCGUAAAGAGCACGUAGGUGGAUUUGUAAGUCAGAUGUGAAAGCCUUCUGUUCAACGGGAGAAUUGCAUCUGAAACUACAGACCUUGAGUAUAGGAGGGGAGAGUGGAACUUCUGGU
rnacentral:rRNA from 1 species